rnacentral:antisense_RNA from 1 species
CUUCACCGACCCCAGCCACAACGGCUCGUCCCGGUCCUGACCGUAGGCGGCCAGCAGGGCGUGGGCCUC